UUGAAAAUGAUGUUUUAACUCUGAAUAAAAUAAUUUUACAUAUUGAGCAGGUGUUUUUAGAAUAUCCCUGGGAUAUUCUUCAGAUAGACAUGUGCAUCCAUGUUUCCGCCUCUAGUGAGUCCUCAAUUGCAUCAGUGACCCCUCAGAUCCUCAUUAACUUUCUCUUUGCAGGAAGAGCACAUCAGUGGACAUGCUUGUGUCCAUCUGUGUCACUGCUGUAAUGUCCUUCUUCCCAGCCAGCUUUGUUGUGUUCCUAAUCCAGAAGCUCAUCAGCAAAGUGAAGCACCUGCAGUUCAUCACUGGAGUGAAGCCUGUUAUCAACUGGCUCUCCAAAUUUGUCUGGGACAUGUUUCAGGGCGAGUUGUUUUAGCUUAAUGUACAGAACAAAGAAAAAGGGACUAGAAGAUACAGGUCAGGCUCAUCACAUCUGCAAAAGGAAGUGGAAGAGGUGGAUUCAACACUAGCGCAGCUGCAUAGGAGGGCAGUAGCUUUACAUGUAAACUCCAGAUACUUGCACCCUGGUGAUGUCCCUGGUA